UAAUUAGGCGUUGACAGUCAAAUAAUUAUCUCCUCCACAUACAGGAAAAGAAAGCUGAGAAUCAUGAAAUGGCAGUCUACAACAUUUUAUCUGAGAAGGGUGAUAUACACAGAAACCCUCUCAAUUAUAUUUUCUUUGUAAAUCCAGCUCCAGGACAGCUCUCUGUGAACAUUGUGAUCUGCACCUCACCUCAGACUUACCUAAACGAGAGGUCUGCUUUCGUUUGAUUUCAACAAGUUUUGGAAUAGGAUAAGGUCCAUAGCAAUGAGUGAAAAUGACAGACAGUUGCUGACUUAUCACUUCAUUCUAAACAAAAGAAAUAAAUACAAAGUAUAAGCUUGUGGAUUAA